GAGCUCGGCCCGGGCUGUUCGCUGGGCCGGGAGGCGGCAGCGCCCCCGGGCCCCCCUAGUUCGGACUAUUCAUUCAAGUUCCUGGGGCCCUGCGCCCGAUUCGGAGGUGGCACCCGCCGCCCUCCCUGCCUCUGUGCCCCCGUUUCCAGCCACCGCGCGGAAAUUUAGGUCAAGGACGCCGGGAGCACACCCACACCCUGCGCUCCCAGGGCAGUCCUCGAGAACCCCGGGAUCUGGGGGGCUUGCGGAUGGAGGAGACCCUCCUGCACGAACACCAGCCACAAGUUUUAUUUUCCCUUCGCGCGGCAAGUUCUCUGGCUCCCGCUCCACACUGGCACGUCCUGCACGGCUCCCCGCCCUUCCCCGCCAGAGGAUUAGGAGACAAUGGAAUUCACUCAUCACCAAAACUAUGCCGUGUCCAUUGUGGGUUUGGAGACAUUUGGAAAAAUCUCAACACAGCCAAAGCUUUUGAGUGGUCAGACUGUCAAUCUCUCUGUCCCCUAAACUGGGGUAGUGCCUCUCUGACAGCAUGGAUGGGCGGAGCAUUUGUAGUGAACAAUGUAACAAUGUCAAAGUCCCUUUUUAAAAUUGUGUACUUACAUGGACUGUGUUUAUUAUAAAUUGUGAAUAUGAUUUUUAGAAGGCACUUCAUAAGACUUCAGACCACAAACCCUGCUGUUUCCCAACACUCCAAACAAACUGAUUUUUGAAUCAUCUGGGUUCCCAUGUGUUAAAGAGCUGCAUGUUUUUAUGAUGGUAAUUGUUUUUUUGCGAUUAUUCUCAAUCACAAAGUACAGGCAACACAGCUAAUUGGAUUAUAUUUUGGAUUUUUACCGCAGAACCACAGAUCAUCAGAGCUAGAAAGGCCUUUCUUUACCCGGCUCCUUCCUUGAAUAUGGGAGUCCCAAAGGUGCCAGGCUGUCAGGCCGCCUUCCCACCCCAACCAGUUAAUACCUAAAAGGGGCUCUGGCCAUGGUUCAGUGCCCUUUGACUCUGUAGUGUGCUGUUUGUUGUUCCUCGAUAGGCAGAAGUCAGUGGCUACCUUCCUGAUGGAGACUUGAACAAACUGUUAAGUGGUGAGCUGGGAGGAGACCUGAUGGGGCGGGGCCCCGAGCACUGCAGUGUCCAAGCCAGAGACUGAUAAAGGACUAAAGGAGAAGGCUACUACGUCACUGCACUGUUUUUCUUAAGGUUGGUAUUGUUGGAGUUGGAGUCUUGCAAUGCAAGAACCCAGACAGGCCUUGAACUGGAGAGAGCAUCCUGACACUGGCCACACCACCACCACCACCAAGUUUUAUUUUUCCUUCGCAGAUUGUGUUGUUUUGUUGAGAUGGUGUCUCAUGCGGCCCAGGCUGAUGGUGAACUCCAUAGAUUGCGGAGGAUCACGGCCUUGAACUUCUGACAUUCUUGCCUCUGCUGUUGCAAUUGUAGCUUGGGGCCACCGUGCCAGGUUUGCAGUGCUGGAGAUCAACCCCUAGGCUCCCAGUGUCGCAGGGAAGCUUCCACCAACUGAGCCACACACCCAGCCUUCAGGAGGUUGUUUUGCUUGUCCCAUCUCACUGCACUCACCACAUACCUAGGUGGCAACACUCUGCUACAGGCCUUCUUCCCCUGCUCCCUGGUUCUGAGAUUUGACCGAUGUACAGAUUGUAGGGUGACCAUCAAGAUAAACAUGUGGGACAGUUUCAUUGUCCAAAGCAAACACACACACACACACACACAAAAAAAAACCCUCCCCCUACCGCCCUUUGCACUAGGAUUAGUAAGGGUUGAUGAUUCAGUGUUUCUUCUCCAGCUCGCUCAGCUCACUCGCUCGCUCAGGGUACCAGUGGUGGUGCUGUAUAACUCACACUGCCUUGAGGACUCGCCCCCACCCCCACCCCAUUCUGCUCUUGCCCACGCUCUCCUGGGCUCUCUGGCCCCUGGCCACUUUUCCUUUUCUAUCUCUGGGUCCUCCCUUCGUCUCUACUUUUCCUUUAAACAUUGGUGUGCUUCCUCUGCCUGAUGCUCUCCUCCAGCUACCCCCUCUCUGGAUGACCUUCCUAGCAGGAUGAGUUUAAAUACCACCCACAUGCUGAUGCUGCUCCAAAUCUCCUCCGGCCCUGACCUUGCCCGAGUUCCAGGCUCUGCACAGUAUCCUUUCUCUAUACAUCUCUGUUUACAUUUCCUAGAGGUAUUCCGGAUGUGGACGCAACACUGCCAAAGCCACACACAUACUAUUCUCCCCUACAUUUGAACCUCUUUUUGGAAUCUUCAUCAGUGAAGAGCCUUAGCCAGCCUGGAGGCAAUGUGGCUGAACUCUGCCCUUACCGUGUGCAACUCUGUAGAAUCCACCUUGAAAAUUUUGCUCAAAACUGUCUUAUUAUUAUUUCUCAAUUUAAAUUUAUUACAUUUUAAAAGUUUUAUUUCCAUGGUAUGUGUGUGCAUGUGUGAUCAUAGGACAGCUUUCAGGAAUCUGUUCUCGCUUUCUCCUAGGUUGCAGAGGUUGAAUUUAGCUAGUCAGGGUCAGGCUUCAUCAGCAAAAAUGUAUACCCAAUGGACCAUCAAAGCCUUCUCUCCUGCUACAGUAUAUCAGACCUCUUGCACCUGAGGCCAGGGGAUGGUCUCCCACAGCUACCCACGAGGACUCUUAGUCCAUUUAUAUGCCUGGGAAGCUUUCCCACACUUUUCUAACCAGGUCAGAUGGCUCUCAAUAGACACUUAACCCACGGGAAGGUCCUCCGUGUACCUUACCUUGUGUGACCAUUUGCUUUAUCAUCCGUCACUGCCAAGCCACGAGCUCCCGUCCAGUUUGCUCUCCUUGUACCCAGUACAGUACCUGCUAGUUCAUGGCUGACGAUAAAUAAUUUUGGUGGUAGACAGAUUGAUAAAUGGGUGAAUGCUGCUGUCCAAUUUCACCCUAGGAUCUGUUUUGUGUGGUCAUGUGCAGAAGUCAAACUGACUGCAGUUUCCCCUUAAUGGUGUUAGCCCUUUAUAUUGGUCUCCUAACAUAGAAAAUGUUAUUUGCAUUCUUCUUUUUCUUUUUUCUUUUCUUUUCCUUUUUUUUUUCCUUUUCCACUUUCUGGAACAGUAUGUUAAAGACUAUUAAUUAGGCCUGGACUGAUGAUACACACCAGCAAUUGGGAGGCAGAGGCAGGAGGAUCACUGUAAGUUCAGGGUUAGCCUUGUCUGCCUAGUAAGUCCCAGAGCAGAAAAGAAUACAUAAUAAAACCCUGUCUCAAUGUUCUGGCAAACUUCUGGUCUGGGAUAGCCAUUUCAUAGGUUGAUUGCCUGGAUGUCCUGGAACUUGCUCUGUGGAUGAGGCUGUCCACAAACUCACAGAAAUCCACCUGCCUCUCUGCCUCCGGAGUGCUAGGAGUAAAGGUUUGGAAAUCUGGUGUUUUGGCUAACGAGUUGUGUUCCUCUUCGCCUCUUAUGACUCUCCUUUCUCACCUCCAGUUCAAAAUGACUGCAAGCAGCCAAGGCACCAACUCCGUCUUGAUGAAAGGGGCCGGGCUCCCAGAAGAAAAUAGCUUUGCCUUUCAACUCCACCUGGAAACGGUUGACAUGGCGCUACCUUCACUCAAGCCUCUCCACUAGCCUUGGCGCUUCCCCCAUCUCUGCCAAGGCUGGCCCCUGCCAAGCCAAUCUAAAUAUCACAGCUGGAAGUACAGGGUCUCCCCCGCCCCCAACCCUUUCUCCCACACUCUAUACGUUGUACCUUGGGACCUUUCAACAUUCUCUAUGGUCAUUCUGAACACCCGCACCCUGCCCAUCCACUACGGCAACAGGCUCACAGACCCACAACUACACAUUAGAUUUUUUAAAAAAAACUUUUGUUCCCCCUUUACACAAUACAGGAGGUGGCCACAGCAGCCGGACACAGCACCUCAACAGUGUUAACUCUAUUAUGUAUUUGUAUCUCCAGAAGGCCCUUCCAACAAAAUCAACAAAAUUGCCACUUAAUAGAAGAAACGCGCACUUUGGAGGACUGUGGGUGAGCGCGCCCUCUACUGGUGAUCAGAGGAAGUGCUUUUUACUGUAGGUUCCCUCUUCUGGUGGAGCAGGGGAAAAAAAAAAGACUGUCUCUCCAGAGUUCAAGUUCCUGCUCCCAAAUUCUGACAUCUAAAUCUCCCCAAUUUAGGGGUUUCCUGUAGCUGAUGCCAAGACCCACCACGAUAGCCCAUGCUGCAAUUUCUACAAUUAAUACCAGUCAGCUA
rnacentral:lncRNA from 1 species